AUUCCCCUAGUAACUGCGAGUGAAGCGGGAAAAGCUCAAAUUUAAAAUCUGGCGGUCUCUGGCCGUCCGAGUUGUAGUCUGGAGAAGUGCUUUCCGCGCUGGACCGUGUAUAAGUCUCUUGGAACAGAGCGUCAUAGAGGGUGAGAAUCCCGUCUUUGACACGGACUACCAGUGCUUUGUGAUGCGCUCUCAAAGAGUCGAGUUGUUUGGGAAUGCAGCUCAAAAUGGGUGGUGAAUUCCAUCUAAAGCUAAAUAUUGGCGAGAGACCGAUAGCGAACAAGUACCGUGAGGGAAAGAUGAAAAGCACUUUGGAAAGAGAGUUAAACAGUACGUGAAAUUGCUGAAAGGGAAACGCUUGAAGUCAGUCGCGUUGUCCGGAACUCAGCCUUGCUUUUGCUUGGUGCACUUUCCGGAUGACGGGUCAGCAUCGAUUUUGACCGUCGGAAAAGGGCUGGAGUAAUGUGGCACCUCCGGGUGUGUUAUAGACUCUGGUCGCAUACGGCGGUUGGGAUCGAGGAACGCAGCGCGCCGCAAGGCAGGGGUUCGCCCACUUUCGCGCUUAGGAUGCUGGCAUAAUGGCUUUAAACGACCCGUCUUGAAACACGG
rnacentral:rRNA from 1 species